UCUGGAUAUCAAGCAAAUCAAAUUACGCGAAGGCCCACCAGACACGCGCAUUAACCAUCGGGUAGCCCAGCUACACACCUUUGGGGGCGGGGGCGGGGCGCGAACCUGGCCAGCGGCUUCCCUGGCGGCGGCAGGAUGGACCCGGCUGGGAGGCAGGCCCGGGAGCCGGAGGGGGCGUGGCCACUGUGUCCCCCAUCCCCCCACUUCCACACCGCCCCCCGAGGCCAGGAGCGAGAAGGACCCCGAAGAGCCCAAGCAGAUUUUGGCAGGUGACGUGGGGCGAGGAGUCCAUGAUGCUGAGAAGACAAGAAGGCAACCAACUGUGGACAAGAAAGGGUCCAGCCAAGGUCACAAGCCUUCCCCAGAACGGGAUCGUGCACAGAGGGAAACGGUCAUAAGGCUCGAGCUGGCAAGCUGACCAUCGCUCGGUUAGACACCGCUGCCGGCGAGAAAGGUGAACCAGCCAGCCUCCAUCCAGCCACUCGUGGCGUUUUUUUGAAAUCCGUAUUAUA
rnacentral:lncRNA from 1 species